UGGAACGGGACGCCACAGAGGGUGAGAGCCCCGUAUGGUCGGACACCAAGCCUCUGUAAAGCUCCUUCGACGAGUCGAGUAGCUUGGGAAUGCUGCUCUAAAUGGGAGGUAAACUUCUUCUAAAGCUAAAUACCGGCUAGAGACCGAUAGCGCACAAGUAGAGUGAUCGAAAGAUGAAAAGCACUUUGAAAAGAGGGUUAAACAGUACGUGAAAUUGUUGAAAGGGAAGCGCUUGUGACCAGACUUGCGCCGGGCUGAUCAUCCAGCGGUCUCCGCUGGUGCACUCGGUCCGGCUCAGGCCAGCGUCGGUUGUCGCGGGGGGAUAAAAAGCCUAGGGAAUGUAGCUCCUUCCGGGGAGUGUUAUAGCCCUCCGCAGAAUAUCCCCGCGGCGACCGAGGUCCGCGCCCUGCAAGGACGCUGGCGUAAUGGUCAUCAGCGACCC
rnacentral:rRNA from 1 species